AGAGUUUGAUCCUGGCUCAGAUUGAACGCUGGCGGCAUGCCUUACACAUGCAAGUCGAACGGCAGCGCGGGGCAACCUGGCGGCGAGUGGCGAACGGGUGAGUAAUAUAUCGGAACGUGCCCUGGAGUGGGGGAUAACGCAGCGAAAGUUGCGCUAAUACCGCAUACGAUCUAAGGAUGAAAGCAGGGGACCGCAAGGCCUUGUGCUCCUGGAGCGGCCGAUAUCUGAUUAGCUAGUUGGUGGGGUAAAGGCCUACCAAGGCAUCGAUCAGUAGCUGGUCUGAGAGGACGACCAGCCACACUGGAACUGAGACACGGUCCAGACUCCUACGGGAGGCAGCAGUGGGGAAUUUUGGACAAUGGGCGAAAGCCUGAUCCAGCAAUGCCGCGUGAGUGAAGAAGGCCUUCGGG
rnacentral:rRNA from 1 species